rnacentral:rRNA from 1 species
GUCUAUGGCCAUGCCACCCUGAACGAGCCCGAUCCCAUCUGAUCUCAGAAGCUAAGCAGGGUCGGGCCUGGUUAGUACUUGGAUGGGAGACCACCUGGGAAGACCAGGUGCUGUAGGCA